rnacentral:rRNA from 1 species
GACGAACGCUGGCGGCGUGCCUAAUACAUGCAAGUCGAACGAAGCUGUUCUAACUGGUGCUUGCACCGACUUAAACAACUGAGUGGCGAACGGGUGAGUAACACGUGGGUAACCUGCCCCAAAGCGGGGGAUAACAUUUGGAAACAGAUGCUAAUACCGCAUAAUCACAGAAACCACAUGGUUUCGGUGUCAAAGAUGGUUUCGGCUAUCACUUUGGGAUGGACCCGCGGCGUAUUAGCUAGUUGGUAAGGUAAUGGCUUACCAAGGCAAUGGUCCGUAGCCGAACUGAGAGGUUGAUCGGCCACAUUGGGACUGAGACACGGCCCAAACUCCUACGGGAGGCAGCAGUAGGGAAUCUUCCACAAUGGACGAAAGUCUGAUGGAGCAACGCCGCGUGAGUGAAGAAGGUUUUCGGAUCGUAAAACUCUGUUGUCAGAGAAGAACGUGUGCGAGAGUAACUGUUCGUGCAGUGACGGUAUCUGGCCAGAAAGCCACGGCUAACUACGUGCCAGCAGCCGCCGUAA